CCUACGGGUGGCAGCAGUGAGGAAUAUUGGUCAAUGGACGCGAGCCUGAACCAGCCAUGCAGCGUGAAGGAAGACGGCCCUAUGAGUUGUAAACUUCUUUUAUACAGGAAUAAAGUCAGGUACGCGUACCUUUCUGUAUGUACCUUAUGAAUAAGGAUCGGCUAACUCCGUGCCAGCAGCCGCGGUAAUACGGAGGAUCCGAGCGUUAUCCGGAUUUAUUGGGUUUAAAGGGUGCGUAGGCGGUCGGUUAAGUCAGUGGUGAAAGUCCGAGGCUCAACCUGGGAAUUGCCGUGGAUACUGGCAGGCUAGAGAGUAGUUGAGGUAGGCGGAAUGUGUGGUGUAGCGGUGAAAUGCUUAGAGAUCAUGCAGAACACCGAUUGCGAAGGCAGCUUACCAAGCUACCACGGACGUUGAGGCACGAAAGCGUGGGGAGCAAACAGGAUUAGAUACCCCUGUAGUC
rnacentral:rRNA from 1 species